AAACUCGGAUUAAUACCGGAUAUUCUUAUUUAAUCACAUGAUUUUUAAAGGAAAGGUCAGCCGAACUAAGAUGGGCUCGCGUUCUAUCAGCUAGUUGGUAGGGUAAUGGCCUACCAAGGCUACGACGGAUAGCUGGUCUGAGAGGACGAUCAGCCACACUGGGACUGAGACACGGCCCAGAAUUCUACGGGAGGCUGCAGCAGGGAAUAUUGCGCAAUGAGCGAAAGCUUGACGCAGCCACACCGCGUGUGGGAUGACGGAUCUAGGUUUGUAAACCAUUUUCAGGAGGGAAGAAAAUGACGGUCCCUCC
rnacentral:rRNA from 1 species